CGUGUAGGCGGGACGGGAAGUCCGACGUGAAAGGCUCCGGCUUAACCGGAGACGGCCGUUGGAAACUCUCGUUCUUGAGGGUCGAAGAGGAGAGUGGAAUUCCUGGUGUAGCGGUGAAAUGCGUAGAGAUCAGGAGGAACACCCGUGGCGAAGGCGGCUCUCUGGUCGGCAACUGACGCUGAGACGCGAAAGCGUGGGGAGCGAACG
rnacentral:rRNA from 1 species